UACGGAGGAUCCAAGCGUUAUCCGGAUUUAUUGGGUUUAAAGGGUGCGCAGGCGGGAUGAUAAGUCAGUGGUGAAAGUUUGCAGCUUAACUGUAAAAUUGCCGUUGAAACUGUUAUUCUUGAGUGCGGACAAGGUAGGCGGAAUGUAUUGUGUAGCGGUGAAAUGCUUAGAUAUAAUACAGAACCCCGAUUGCGAAGGCAGCUUACCGGACUGUAACUGACGCUCAGGCACGAAAGCGUGGGGAUCAAACAGG
rnacentral:rRNA from 1 species